AAAUCCAAUAUACGAAGAUUACACGACUUGAUUGUCCAGGGUACAAAACAAGGGUUUACUCGUUUGAUAUGUGAUUUCAAUAAAGAUGAUCUGGAACAAUUAAACGUACGGGGAUUAAACUGCUUACAUCUUGCUGCAAAAGGUGGUAAUAUUCAAUUAUUUAAAAGAAUUCAUAAAUGCGGUGUAAGCAUUGACACAAAAGCAACUGACGGAAGGAAUGUUUUGCACAUUGCUGCCCACCACGGGAACUAUGCAAUAUGCGAGUACCUUUUGCAAAAACAUAAGAACCUAUACACGGACACUGACAGAUAUGCAAUGAAUCCUGCUCACUGGGCUGCACUUGCUGGAGAGAAAUCUAUAUUGGAGCUCUUCAUGAAAUAUGGAUGUGAUCUAACUGAACUUACUCAUCCAUAUAGAGAAAAUAUAGUUUUAUUUGCCUGUAUGGGAAAAAGUUUAGCUGUUUGCAAGUUUGUGGGAUCAAACAAAAACAUUUCACACCUUUUGCACGAAAAGAAUAGAGAAGGAUGGAGCUCUAUACAAUAUGCAGCUAAAAGUGGAAAUCUUGAGGUUUUUAAAUAUCUUGUUGAUGAAGGUGUAGAUAUUGAAAACAAAUCACAGAAAACUGGAAAGAAUUGUCUACAUACCGCAUGUGAAAAGGGUCAUUUGAAAAUAUGCGAGUAUAUAUUGAAAACGAAACCCGGGCUUUUAACAGAACUAGACAAAAAUAUGCAACACGUAGGACAUUUUGCUGCAAAAAGCGGGGACGUUGAAAUACUGCAGCAUUUGUUAGAUCAUUCCCUCGUCGAUAACGCGUUCUUACAGAAACCAGCCACUGAUAAUAUUCAUCUACUGCAUAUCGCAUGCAGGCAUGCAAGAUUUGAUAUGUGUCUUAAAAUAGUGAAAGAGUUUCCUUUUAUGAUUCACGAAAUCACAGAAAAAGGAUGGAAUGCUGCCCUAUUUAUCACUGAAAGAGCUGGUGCCGAAAACGAACGAAUACAAAUUUUGAAAACUUUAACUGAUAUAUCAUCAGAAUCCCCUUUAAAUGCGUAUCAUGUUUCACGAUCCGGAAAAACUAUUUUGUUCAAUGCAUGCGUAAACCGGUCACCUAAACUGGUUCAAUUUUUGUUAGAAAACUUUCCAGACUUACCAGAAAUUGAAAAAUCAAUGGAUCCAAUAGAGUCAGCAAACUCAGAGGAGAUAAAAGAAAUUUUUAAAACACACUAUCAAAAAAGUUACAAAUGUUAAAGCAGCCUAGCCUCGUUUCCAGUAUAAAUGUUGAAACCUGUGGCUUUGUUGCUGCAGGAUUCAUUUUUAACAAGUAGAUGUCCUUCCAAACACUUACGCAUUCGGCGUAGACAACGUAUAUAAGAUAAGGAAUACGAUUAAAGGCGAUAAAAAAAACCGUAAGGACGUCCUUCUACAAAUGUUAACAAAUGAAUCAUUUAUGAAGUAAAUGAAAAUUUUACCUUUGCAAAAACCUAAAAAAAAAUCAGAUGCUACAUUUACCUGAAAACUCAAGUUUACCUAAAACUGAAGUCCUGCUCGAAAUCUUUGUUGUUUUGUUCUCUAUGUCUAUAAUGUCUGGUUUUAUUAUACUUUUUUUCUAAAUGUAUAUAUCCUUGACUGUAACAUUAUAUAGUGUUAAAGUUGUUUCGUUUAUAUCUCUUGAAAGUGUGGUUUGCAGUGGUAUAUUCAAAUUGUGUUUUUCUACUCCAAGUAAUUUUGCGUCUUGACGAAGGAAUAGGUUUUCCAAAUUAUUCGACAAUUUUAAUUGUUCAUGUCAUUAGCCAGUUCUUAUGCUUUAUAUUUAUCUUUAGUUUGGUUAUAGUUUGUAAAAUCAUGCGCAGAUCCAGAGAGGUCGGGAUGUCCAGACAAUAACCCUACCCGCCUUUCAAAAAAAUGAUUUUUUUUUUAUUCACAUGGUAAUUUUUUUUUAAAAUAGGCCUCGGACCCAUGCCCGGGGAAACAUGUCCCGGAUCCGCGCAUGAUAAUAAUGUACAUACAUCCAUGUAUAUAUUUAUUGAUGAAUUUUAUGUACUUGUUCUAUAGUUUUAGAUAAUAAAGAAAUAU
rnacentral:misc_RNA from 1 species